GCCGUCGGUGUUAGGUGACACCGAUAUAUUUUCUUUUAAAAAAAGUGGCCUAAAAUGGGAAAAGAAUAACAAAAAAAUUAUAGGGUAUUAGGGGUGAAAGCUCGUGACUCCGUUCGGGUUCAGAGCUCUGUGAUUCUGUUCAGUGAUCUAAACAGUGAGGUGACGUGUUUAACUGCGGGGAAGAACAUAUCUCCGAUUGGUGACGAUCCGACGAUGCAAAAUGGAGAUCGAAGAAAGAAUAGUUUGAAGCUUUGCUUAUUUUUUUAAAAGAUUUUGAGCCGGCUACUGUGAGAUUUGAACCAUAAAAGUCAACGAUAAGGACGAUGUCUUUUUUUUGAUGUCAAAAUUGGCACGAAAGGCCACCGUAAGUAGUGGCAUCAGUAGUUAUUGAGUACGACAACUUGGGUUUUCAAUCAAGAAGAAGAAAGGAAAAAAUUUUAAAAAAUUAAAAAUAGAAACAUUGUAACACCCCUUACCCGAGACCGUUGCCAGAGUCGAGCACGAGGUGUUAUCUGAUUUAACUUACCAGUUCAGGGCAUAAAAAUUUGCUUUUAAAAUCUAUUUCACUGUUCACCAUAAUGCUGUGCACCUGCAUAGCAGUCACUAAUUUAAUUAUAACUCGAGUUACGAAACUCGACAUUUAGAUACGUAAAUUUUCCCUACAACUAGACUCAUAUAUUUUCUUACAAUAAAAUUUUCAGAAUUUUUGGAUUAGCCAAUUAGUACAGUUUAUUCAUUACAAUCUCUCAUGUUUCAAUGCCUGGCGGUUCUGACCUUUAUUCACUAAAAAUCAAUUUUCUCAUCGUAUGAUUUUCAUAUGGUGUUCUCACUUGUUUCUACCAAAAAUAGACUCCCUAAUGAAUCUAGACAUAUAAAUUAUAACUCAUAAUUAUUUUUGUAAAAUUUUUAAUUAUUUUCUAAAUUCAGAAUAGGGGACUCUAAAAACCAUUCUGACCCUGUCUAACCAAAAUUCAAAUAUCUCAAAAUAUAAAAUUUCUUUACCCACACUGUUAUUUUUCUAUGAAAAUAGACUCGAUAAGCUUUAAUUAUAUAUAUCAUUAACUCUCUAAUUCAUUUUAUACUAUCCUUGGUGAUUUUUCAGAGUCACAUCACUGUUGCUGUCCCAAAACUGUUUCAUUGCAAAUUUUUACUCUUUCAUAUUCUCUAGGUAUAAACUAUCACCUAAGCAUUCAUAACACCACACAUGUUCUUAAUUAGCCAUUUCAAUAGCUAACCAUUAGCCAUAUCAUACAAAUACACUCAAAAUGACUAAGUCUCUAUACAUGCCAUAGCUUUACACGUUUCGAAAUCACAUAAUACCGAGAUGUCUGUAGAUAGUGUGAGACAAACUCCGACGUCCUUGUGAUCCUCGAACUGACUUGGCGAUACUAUAAAAAUAAGGAAAAUAAAGAAAGUAAGCAUAAAGCUUAGUAAGUUAAAAGUAAAUAAAUAACAACAUUUAUCAUAAAUAAUCAUACUCAUAAAUUUCAUCAAACAUUAGAAUCUUUACUCGCUUCUUUACUUACUCACUUACUUGUUUACUUACUUGCUUACUUAAAUAACUCAUGAUUAUAACUUACUCCUCCCUUUCUGAAAUUUCUUUCUCAACUGAUAACUGAGAUAUUCUCAAUCCUUAUAACUCACCUGAAUUUAUUAUUAUGCUUUUAUUUGAACUUUCAUGUAACAUGGUUUAUUUACUAGCCCAUUGAAUCACUUGGAAUACUAAGGAUACUCGGGUCUCUUGUCUGAUAAUACAUGCCAAAGCUAUGUCCCAGACAUAGUCUUACAUGGGAUGUUUUCUGUAUUGCCAAUGCCAUAUCCCAGAUAUGGUCUUACAUGGGAGUUCUCAUAUCGGUGCCCAUGCCAUGUCUCAGACAUGGUCAUACGGGGGACCUCUCAUCUCGGCGCCAACCCCAUGUCCCAGACAUGGACUUAAAUGGGACCUCUCAUAAUCUCAAUAAUGAUACCAAUGCCAUGUCUCAGACAUGGUCUUACAUGGGAUCUCAUUCCCUUAAUGUCAUGACAUUUGUAUCCAAUACAUUCCCAAUGUUUCAACAGGGCUUUUAUCAUUGAGUCUCUGUCACCUCAUACUUAAGUCAACAUUAGAUAUUUCCAUGAAAUAAAUACAUAAUUGCUAAAAAAUAACAGUAUUAAUAAUAAUUAUCAAAAUAUUACAUUUAUUUACCGUAAACUUACCUCGGUACAAAAUAUGAUCAAAUCUAGCACUUUAGUCUUCAACCUUUUUUCUUUCCCUGAUCAAAUCUAGCACUUUUGUCUUCAACCUUUUUUCUUUCCCUGAUCUAACUCUGGAUUUUGUUCUUCUUGAUCUAUAAUAGCAAAAUUCAUCUUAUUUAAUACUCACAUUCAUCAAAACAAUCCUUGACUCGAGCUGUGGAAAAUUAUGAUUUUGCCCCUAAACUUUUGCAUAAUUACACUUUUGCCCCAAAAGCUCGGAAAUUAAAAUUAAUCCCUUAUUAUUAUGUUUUAUGACAUUUUGAACAUUUUUCCCUUCUAUGGAAACAUCAAAUUCUCAGUCUAACACUUACUUAUGAGCAGUAGGUAUUUUUACCGAUUAUGUCGUUUUACUCGUUUUCACUUAAAAUCGCUUAGCAAAAGUUGUUUAACAUAAUUCCAAGCUUUAUAUUCUACCAUUAAACAUAAAAAUAAACACAUUUCACCUAUGGGUAUUUUUCCAAAUAUGAACCCUAGGUUAAAUUAUUGCUAGAAUAAGCUAAAUCAAGUUACCGAGACUCCAAAAACGUAAAGAACAUUAAAAACGGGGAUUGGGAUCACUUACUAUGGAGCUUGGAAGCUUGAAAACCCAAAGUAUGGCUUCCCCCUUGCUAAUUUCAGCCAAAUGAAGAAGAUGAGCACAAUUUGCCAUCUUUUUCCCUUUUAAUUCAUUUUAAUUACCAAAUUACCAAAAUGCCCCUAACUUAAAGAUUUCCUAUUUCACUUAUCUCAUGUCCAUUUUUGUUCAUAACUUAACCAAUGGUCUAAUUACCAUAUAAAGACCUCUAACAUGUAGAACUCAACUUUUUCACUUUUUACAAUUUAGUCCUUUUCACUAAAUUGAGUGCCCAAACGUCGAAAUUUUUGAACAAAAUUUUCACGAAAUCGUUCCGCGAAGUUGUAGGCCAUAAAAAUAUAGUAAAAAUAAAUUUUUCCUCAUCGGAUUUGUGGUCCCGAAACCACUGUUCCAAAUAGGCCCAAAAUCGGGAUGUUACAUUUCUCCUCCCUUUUAGGGAUUUUCGUCCCCGAAAAUCUUACCUGUGAAGAGAUUUGGGUACUAUUUUCGUAUAGCCUCUUCGGGCUCCCAUGUAGCCUCAUCAACCCCAUGCCUAUUCAUAACACUUUCACAAGUGCAAUACUCUUGUUCCUUAGUUGCUUGAUCUCUCUAUCUAAAAUUUUUACCGGUUCUUCAACAUAAGUCAUGUCUGGCUGAAUCUCAACCUCUGUUGGUGAGAUCACAUGUGACGGAUUGGAACGGUAAUGACGUAACAUAGACACAUGGAAUACAUUAUGAAUCUUCUCUAAGUCAGUUGGCAAAGCUAACCGAUAUGCUAAGGUCCCAAUUCUUUCAGUCACCUCAAACGGUCCAAUGAAAUGUGGACUUAGUUUGCCUUUCUUGCCAAAUCUAAAAAUUUUCUUCCACGGGGAUACUUUCAAAAACACUUUGUCACCAACUUGAUACUUGAUCUCUUUUCUUUUUAAAUCUGCAUAAGACUUCUGUCUGUCUGAAGCUGCUUUUAAACAAUCUCUAAUAACUUUUACUUUCUCUUCCGUUUCUUUGACUAAAUCAACCCUGUAAAUCUGAUUUUCCUUAAGCUCUGUCUAAUACAAAGGCAUACGACACUUACGUCCAUACAAAGCUUCAUAAGGAGCCAUCUUCAAACUCGACUGAUAACUAUUAUUAUAGGCAAACUCUACCAACAGCAAAUAUUUCUCCCAACUGCCUUGAAAUUCUAAAACACAACAUCUGAGCAUAUCUUCAAGUAGCUAAAUAACUCUCUCUGACUGACCAUCGGUCUGAAGAUGGAAAGUUGUAUUGAAGUUCAACUUUGUACCCAAAGCUUCCUACAAUUUCCUCCAAAACCGCGAAGUAAAUCUCAGAUCUCUGUCUGAGAUAAUCGAUAACGGUACCCCAUGUAGUCUAACUAUCUCUGAAACAUACAAUUCAACCAACCUAUCAAGUGAAGAAUCCAUACGAAUCGGAAUAAAAUGAGCUGACUUCGUUAACUUAUCAAUCAUAACCCGUACUGCAUCUUUCUUUUUCGGUGUCAACGGCAACCCUGCUACAAAAUCCAUGGUAACUCGGUCCCAUUUCCACUCAGGAACUAAUACAGGCUGCAAUAAACCUGAAGGUACCUAAUGUUCGGCCUUUACCUGUUGACAGAUCAAGCAUCUAGAAACAAAUUCUAAAAUAUCUCUUUUCAUUCCUGCCCACCAGUAUAUCUUCUUCACAUCAUUAUACAUCUUUGUACUACCUGGGUGAAUAGACAAAUGGCUGCUGUGUGCUUCUUGUAAGAUGUUUUGAAUAAGCUCAUCAUUCUUUGGUAUACAUAUCCGAUUUUUGAACAUCAAACAACCAUCAGAACCAAUCUGAAAAUCAGACUCUACACCUGACCCGCACUGAGCUCUUUUAGCUUGCAACUCAUUAUCAUCUUUCUGAGCUUUACAGAUUUCUUCAAGAAACAUCGGUUUAGCUCUCAACUCAGCUAAAAUAGAACCGUCAUCUGAUAAAUCCAAACUAGUAUUCAAAGCUCUCAAUGUAACUAAAUACUUUCUACUCAAGGCAUCAGUAACAACGUUUUCCUUACCAGGGUGAUAAUCGAUCACUAGCUCAUAAUCUUUAAUCAAUUCUAGCCAUAUUCUUUGCCUCAAAUUCAAAUAUUUGAGUCAUCAAGUAUUUCAAACUUUUAUGGUCAGUGAAUAUUCGGCACUUCUCACCGUACAAGUAAUGUCUCCAGAUUUUCAACGCAAAUACAAUGGCAGCUAGCUCUAAAUUGUGUGUCGGGUAAUUUUUCUCAUGUGGCUUUAACUGUCUGGAAGCAUAUGCUAUUACUUUAUCUUCCUGCAUAAGUACACAACCCAAUCUAUUCAAGGAUGCAUCACUGUAAAUCAAAAAUUCUUUACCUGGUUCUGGCUGUAUUAAAAUAGGAGCUUUAGUCAAUAAUGCCUUUAACUUGUCAAAACUCUGCUGACAUUUUUCAGUCCAUUCAAACUUAACAUCUUUCUGUAACAACCUUGUCAACGGGGUAGCUAUCAUGGAAAAUCCUUUUACAAAUCAUCUGUAAUAACCAGCUAAUCCAAGAAAGCUUCUAACCUCUGAUACAUUUCUAGGAGGCUUCCAAUUAACAAUUGCUGAAAUUUUACUCGGAUCAACUUUAAUACCAUCACCUGAGACAAUGUGUCCAAUGAAUCCAACUUCCCGAAGCCAGAACUCACUUUUACUAAACUUGGCAUAAAUCUUAUUAUCUCUCAAAAUCUGUAAAACUAUUCUCAAAUGUUCGGCAUGUUCGGUCUCAUCACGAGAAUAAAUAAGAAUAUCAUCAAUAAACACAACUAUAAAUUUGUCCAAGUACGGUCGAAAGAUUCGGUUCAUUAAAUCCAUGAAUAUGGCAGGAGCAUUAGUCAAACCAAAUGGCAUCACAAGAAACUCAUAGUGACCAUACCUAGUCCGGAAAGUAGUCUUCGAAACAUCUGACUCUUUAACCCGCAACUGAUAAUAACCAGAUCUCAAAUCUAUCUUAGAGAACACAGUGGCUCCCUUCAAUUGGUCAAACAGAUCAUCACUUCUAGGAAGUGGAUAUUUAUUCUUUAUUGUGACUUUAUUAAGCUAUCGAUAAUCUAGACACAACCUCAUUGAACCGUCUUUCUUUUUCACAAAAAGCACUGGUGCACCCCACGGAGAACAACUAGGUCUUACAAAACCUUUAUCAGUUAAUUUCUGCAACUGAGCUUUCAAUUCUUUCAAUUGCAACGGGGCCAUUCUAUAAGGAGAAAUAGAAAUAGGAGUGGUACCUGGAAUCUACUCAAUACCAAACUCAACUUCUCUAAUAGAAGGCAAACCUGGCAAUUCUUUCAGAAACACAUCGGAAAACUCACAAACUACUGGCAUGGAUUCAAUUUUCAACUUUGGAUCUUUAGUAUUCAAUACAAAAGCAAGAUAAGCUUCAUACCCUUUUCUCAAACAUUUCUGAGCAGACAUAAUAGAAAUCACGGUAAGAGAAUUAUCUGACUCUUCUGAAUUAACCCGAAUAAUAUCACCAUUUUUCAUUUCAACUCAAUGUAUUUCUUUCCACAAUUCACUAUCACAUCAUAGGCAGUCAACCAAUCCAUACCAAGAAUCACAUCAAACUCAUCAGAUGUAAAUAGCAUGAGAUUAGCGGGAAAACAGUAACAUCUAAUCAUCAAAGGGCAAUUUUUACAUACUUUGUCUACUAACACAUACUGGCCUAAUGGAUUUGAUACUUUAAUCACAAAUUCGGUAGAUUCUAUGGGCAUGUUCAUACUAGGCAUCAAUCUCAUACAAACAUAGGAAUGGGUAGAACCCGGAUCAAUCAAAGCAAUAACACUAGUAUCAUAGAGAGAAAAUGUACCUGUAAUCACAUCGGUGGAGGAUGCCUCUUCACGACCGCGAAUAGCAUAAGUCCUUGCGGGUGUUCUAACAUCUGAUCUAGCUGUUGAGUCUCUGGACAUACCUCUGUUACUUGCUCCAACUCCCAAAUUCCUCUGUGGUCUGCCUCUAAUGGGAGCAUUUCUCGAUCUUGCACUCGAUAUUACUCCUCUUUUACCUGUUUCAGGACAAUCCCAAAUAAAAUGAUCUAGUGCACCACAUCUGAAACAUACAUUUUCAUUUGCUCGGCACUCAUUGAGAUGAUGUCUACCACACUGAGCACACUCUGGUCUAGAUGGUCGAGUACUACCCACACUUGCAACUGUAGUAGUCUGAGCUCUUGAACCCACAAAUCCUCUACCUCUGUUUCGGCUAGGAUACCCGGCUGAAAAAUUUGAUCUAAUAGAGAACUCUCUAGGCCUCUUGGAUGUAGACUGAAAUGAUCUGCUCAUCUGCCUUUUCGUCGUGUCUUGAACUUCAAUUUUAUCUUUGCCCCUUUUUUUUUCUUUUAACAACUCCUCUGCCUUACAGGCUCUCUCAACUAGAACAACAUACUCUUUUAUCUCUAGAACACCAACUGACAGUCGGAUAUCAUCAUUGAGCCCAUCUUCAAAUCUUUUACACAUAAAAGCUUCUGUAGAUACACACUCUUGAGCAUACUUGCUGAGUCUGACAAAUUCACGUUCAUACUCAGUAACAGUCAUCUUACCCUGCUUUAACUCAAGGAAUUCUUUUCUUUUCUGGUCAAUAAACCUCUGACUGAUAUACUUUUUACGGAACUCCUCUUGAAAGAAAUCCCAAGUAACUCUCUAACUCGGUACAACUGAUACAAGAGUCUUCCACCAAUGAUAGGCUAAAUCUCUGAGAAGUGAAACAACACACUUCAUGCAUUCCUCAGGUGUACAAGAUAACUCAUCAAAGACUCUAAUAGUAUUCUCGAGCCAAAAUUCUACUCUCUUUGCACCAUCAUCUUUAGUAGCCCGAAACUCUUCAUCCCAUUAUUUUCUGAUCUUAUCAACUAGUGGCCUUUCUCUUAUAACUGUACCUGUACCUGUAACUGGGGGAGCUACAUGGGGGAUCUAAAAAUCAUGAGGGGGUGGAGGUCUAAUAGCCAGAUUCGUACGAACGAACUCAGCAAACCAUUCAUUCAUAGCUUGGAAUAAGGCUUCUCGAGCCCUUCCCUAUGACUAACUGUAACGGGCAUUUUACUAACAUUUUGUGGCACUGUCCCUUCUGCGGGAGCAGGCGUAUUACUCUCUACAUCAUUUGUACCAGCUCGUUCGGGAUCUAUAGCUAUAAAAGAAAACAUUUUAAAAUCGUCAAGAGUCGUCACACUAUCAAAAUACAAGUAUGGCAUGUAUAGCUAGACUUUUAUUCAUACUGAAUAUUUCGAUAAUCGGCUAAACCUUGGAUCUGAUACCAAUAAAUGUAACACUCCUUACCCGAGACCGUUUCCAGAGUCGAGCAUGAGGCGUUAUCUGAUUUAACUUACCAGUUCAGAGCAGAAAAAUUUGCUUUUAAAAUUUAUUUCACUAUUCACCAUAAUGUUGUGCACCUGUGCAGUAGUCACUAAUUUAAUUAUAACUUGAGUUAAAAAACUUGAAAUUUAGAUCCGUAAAUUUUCCCUAAAACUAGAAUCAUAUAUUAUCUUACCAUAAAAUUUUCAGAAUUUUUGGAUUAGCCAAUUAGUACAGUUUAUUCAUUAAAGUCUCCCCUGUUUCACUGCCUGACGGUUCUGACCUUUAUUCACUAAAAAUCAAUUUUCUCAUCGUAUGAUUUUCAUAUGGUGUUCUCACUUGUUUCUACCAAAAAUAGACAUACUAAGGAAUCUAUAAAUAUAAAUUAUAACUCAUAAUUAUUUUUGUACAAUUUUUAAUUAUUUUCUAAAGUCAGAAUUGGGGACUCCAAAAACCAUUCUGACACUGUCUAACCAAAAUUCAAAUAUCUCAGAAUAUGAAAUUCCUUUACCCACACCAUUAUUUUUCUAUGAAAAUAGACUCGAUAAGCUUUAAUUAUAUAUAUCAUUAACUCUCUAAUUCAUUUUAUACUAUCCUUGGUGAUUUUUCAGAGUCACAUCACUGUUGCUGUCCCAAAACUGUUUCAUUGCAAAUUUUUACUCUUUCAUAUUCUCUAGGUAUAAACUAUCACCUAAGCAUUCAUAACACCACACAUGUUCUUAAUUAGCCAUUUCAAUAGCUAACCAUUAGCCAUAUCAUACAAACACACUCAAAAUGACUAAGUCUCUAUACAUGCCAUAGCUUUACACGUUUCGAAGUCACAUAAUACCGAGAUGUCUGUAGAUAGUGUGAGACGAACUCCGACGUCCUUGUGAUCCUCGAACUGACUUGGCGAUACUAUAAAAAUAAGGAAAAUAAAGAAAGUAAGCAUAAAGUUUAGUAAGUUUACAAGUAAAUAAAUAACAACAUUUAUCAUAAAUAACCAUACUCAUAAAUUUCAUCAAACAUUAGAAUCUUUACUCGCUUCUUUACUUACUCACUUACUUGUUUACUUACUUGCUUACUUAAAUAACUCAUGAUUAUAACUUACUCCUCCCUUGCUGAAAUUUCUUUCUCAACUGAUAACUGAGAUAUUCUCAAUCCUUAUAACUCACCUGAAUUUAUUAUUAUGCUUUUAUUUGAACUUUCAUGUAACAUGGUCUAUUUACUAGUCCAUUGAAUCACUUGGAAUACUAAGGAUACUCGGGUCUCUUGUCUGAUAAUACAUGCCAAAGCUAUGUCCUAGACAUAGUCUUACAUGGGAUGUUUUCUGUACUGCCAAUGUCAUAUCCCAGAUAUGGUCUUACAUAGGAGUUCUCAUAUCGGUGCGCAUGCCAUGUCUUAGACAUGGUCUUACGGUGGACCUCUCAUCUCGGUGCCAACGCCAUGUCCCAGACAUGGUCUUACAUGGGACCUCUCAUAAUCUCAAUAAUGAUGCCAAUGUCAUGUCCCAGACAUGGUCUUACAUGGGAUCUCAUUCCCUUAAUGUCAUGACAUUUGUAUCCGAUACAUUCCCAAUGUUUCAACGGGGAUUUUGUCACUGAUUCUCUGUCACCUCAUACUUAAGUCAACAUUAGAUAUUUUCAUGAAAUAAAUACAUAAUUGCUGAAAAAUAACAACAUUAAUAAUAAUUAUCAAAAUAUUGCAUUUAUUUACCGUAAACUUACCUCGGUACAAAAUAUGAUCAAAUCUAGCACUUUAGUCUUCAACCUUUUUCCUUCCCCGGUCUAACUCCGAAUUUCAUUCUUCUUGAUCUAUAAUAGCAAAUUUAUCUUAUUUAAUACUCACAUUCAUCAAAACAAUCCUUGACUCGAGCUUUGGGAAAUUAUGAUUUUACCCUUAAACUUUUGCAUAAUUACACUUUUGCCCCAAAAGCUCGGAAAUUAAAAUUCAUCCCUUAUUAUUAUGUUUUAUGACAUUUUGAACACUUUUCCCUUCUAUGGAAACAUCAAAUUCUCAGUCUAACACUUACUUAUGAGCAGUAGGUAUUUUUACCGAUUAUGCCGUUUUACUCGUUUUCACUUAAAAUCGCUUAGCAAAAGUUGUUUAACAUAAUUCUAAGCUUCAUAUUCUACCAUUAAACAUAAAAAUAAACACAUUUCACCUAUGGGUAUUUUUCCAAAUAUGAACCCUAGGUUAAAUUAUUGCUAGAAUAAUUUAAAUCAAGUUACCGAGACUCCAAAAACGUAAAGAACAUUAAAAACGGGGAUUGGGAUCACUUACUAUGGAGCUUGGAAGCUUGAAAACCCUAACUAUGGCUUCCCCCCUUGCUAAUUUCGGCCAAAUGAAGAAGAUGAGCACAAUUUUCCAUCUUUUUCCCUUUUAAUUCAUUUUAAUUACCAAAUUACCAAAAUGCCCCUAACUUAAAGAUUUCCUAUUUCACUUAUCUCAUGUCCAUUUUUGUUCAUAACUUAACCAAUGGUCUAAUUACCAUAUAAAGACCUCCAAUUUAAAAUUUCAUGACAAUUGGACACCUCUAACAUGUAGAACUCAACUUUUUCACUUUUUACAAUUUAGUCCUUUUCACUAAAUUGAGUGCCCAAACGUCGAAAUUUUUGAGCGAAAUUUUCAUGAAAUCAUUCCGUGAAAUUGUAGGCCAUAAAAAUAUAGUAAAAAUAAAUUUUUCCUCAUCGAAUUUGUGGUACCGAAACCACUUUUCGACUAGGCCCAAAAUCUGGAUGUUACAAACAUUCAAUGUGAAAAGAAAAAGAAAGAAAGGAAAGUCACGGGGAUCACAAUUUUAAUCCUAAUCAAGUUGUCAGUUAAAUUUUAAAUGAGCUGGAUUUUAACAUAGAAAAUUGAAGAAAAAAUUAAAAGUACACAACUUAAGACUAAUUUAAAAAAUAAAUUAAAGUGGUAUUAUCAUUAGUGUGUCAGGUAGCACCAGCGAGGACGAUUAAAAACAACUAAUUUUUGUAAAUAAUUUUUUCCUUGACCUAUUUUCGUAAUUAAUUUUUUAUAUUAUUUUUGUAAAAAAGUUAUUUAGUUUAUUAUAAUUAUCAUACUAAUUUUUUUAAAAAAACUCAUCUUUAUUCUUUUUCUCUAUCAUUGUCUAACAUGAAAACUUCACUUUCUAAUUGUAUGUUAUCAUUAAUUUUAAUUUUACUUUAUUCUAAUUUUUAAUUAGAAUUAGAAUUAUAUUUUUAUACGAAUCUUCAAUUUAUUAUUAUUUUUAAGUAAUUUGUAAUUUCAAAGUAAUUAAUUGCAUCAAAAGUUCAACAUUAAUCAAAGAUGAUGAUGAUAAAUUGAAGAGGAAGAUCAAGAUAGAAGAUGAUGACAAGAAUAAUGAAUUGAAGCAGAAGAUUAAUAUAGAAAAUUUAAACAUAUUUGUAAUAUUAUUAGUAUUUAUUUUUAAAUUAUAUUAUAUUUUAACUUAUCUUUAAUUUAUUAUAUUGUUAAUUUUUUAAAUUUAUAAUUAUAUUAGUAAUCUCAAUAAUUGUUUCACGUAGGAAAAUAAACUAUUGAAAAAUUAAAAAUUAUGUUAUGAUUCGUAAAGUUUAAUUUGAUUAUAUUUUAUAUACUUUGAAUUUAAUUUUUAAUUAAUAAUAUUAUUAGUUAGUUUUAAAUCAGAAAAAUAAAAUGUAAAAUGCUUAAAUAGUUUUUAAUAUUAAAAUUUAAAAAAUGAAAUUAAUAUUUUAACAGUAAUACAUUAAAAUAUAAAUGUUUUAUUAAAUAAUAAAAAUAUAAUUGUGUAAUUUUAAUACAUUAAAACCAUAAUUAAUUUUAUCAAUUAUUAUUAUGCAUAUACAAAUUAAAUCAAAUUCUAAUCUCAAUUCUCAAAAUAAUUUUUAAUUUUUGAAAUUUGAUAUUUACAUAAAAUUUUAAGAUAGAGUUCUUCUUUCAUCUUUAUUCAAACUCAUAAUAAAUGUUAAAGUAAUAUAUCUUUAAUUACACUUUCAUUAUAAUUUAAAGGAUUAAUGAUAAAUUUGGCUGUUUACAUGUUUUUGUCAAAAUGACUCUAAUUGUAUUUUUGAGCCUUUUUUAGCCAUCAACCUUUAUUCUUUUUUUCAUAUUGCUUUUUUUUAACAGAUUUGAUGAAAGUAAGGUUAAAAAUGUUAAUGGGAUGAUGUGGAAUUUCACAUGUGGAAUAUUUUUAAUGAGAUGUAAUUAAUUACUUAGAUAGUCCAAUAAAAUAAUUAUAUGUGGAAAAUAAUAAAAUAAAUAAAUAAUUCAUUAAGUUAAGAAAAUAACUCUUAAUUUAAAGAAAAUAAACGUAAUUAUCUAAAAAAGAGUUUCAAAAUGAAUACACAGAUUCAAUAUUUUCGAUUUGAUUUAUUAAUUAUCUUUCUGAAAUCUCUCAGUAAAUAAACGUAUGCAUCAUUUUGAUUUUUUUUAAAUAAUUACUUUUAUUUAUUUAAAUUAAGAGUUAUUUUUUUAAUUUCAUGUAUGAUUUAUUUAUUUUAUUAUUUUCACAUAUAAUUAUCUUAUUGAGUUACUUAAGUAAUAAAUUACAUCUCAUUAAAAUAUUUCACAUAUGAAAUUUUACAUUUAACUUUUUUUAGGUGAAAUAAAUAAUUACAAUUCUAAAUUACAUAGCGUUAUUCUGAGGGUGAGUAAAACCCCUUAUCUUGUUGGAUUCAAUGAAAGUUGGGGGAGAAUAAAAAACUUGCAACACCAGAGCCAACUUCAUUAAAUAGUCAGCAACCUGAUUUUGUUCUCUAGGAAAAUAGCGCAAAAGCCACUGACAUUCUUGGGACAAGAUGCAUUUUAUCAGUCAAAUCUGUUAAAAAAAACAAUUCGAAAAAAAGGUUUAUGGAAAAAAAUGCUCAAAAAUGCAAUUAGGACCAUUUUGGAAAAACAUAUAAACAUUAGUGACCAAAUUUGUCAUUAAACUUAAUUUAAACUAUUCAAUUUAAUCAAUAAGCAAUAUCUUAUUAUUUAUACUAUUUUAUUUUCAUCAAUUGUGUAAAGAUUAUUAAAAUAUUUUUAUUAAAUAAAUUUCUAUAAUACGAAAUAAAAAUUCAAAUUUUAUAUUAAAUUAUUUUAUAUUUAGAUUGUUUUCUUAUUCUAGCUUUUCGCUUAACAUCAUCAUGUAGAAAAAUCAAAACAUCGAGUGGCAUUCUAUAUUUUUCAUAUAUAAAAGAAAAAAAAUUACAUUAUGUUAUAAUAAAUAAUUAUAUAUUUCAUAUAUAAAAUUUUAUAAAUAAUAUAGUUUUAUAAUAUAACUUAAAUAUUAUAUUUAUGUUAUUUAUAAAUAGUGUAGCUUUUAAUUUAUAGAAUAUUAAAUUUUUAUUAGCACUAUAUUUGAAUUAUCAAAAUAAUUAAUAUAAAUUAAUUAUGUUAAUUAGUUAUUAUUUCGAGGAAUGCUGCUUAUAUUAAUUUUAAGAAGUUAAAUUAUAUCAUAUAUUGAAUAUGUUAACCAUGCAUUAAUUAUGAUUUGACUUUUUAUUAUAAUAAUAUUUGAGUUAAUAUAUUUCAAUUAUAUUUAAUCAUUCGAAUAAUGAAUAUUAAUUUACACUAAUUAUAGAAAUUAAAUAUAAUAUAAAAAAUUAAUUAAAAAUUAAACACGUAAACAUUAAAAAUUAGUAACUUUCUAAAAAAAGGGCUUUUAGAUAUUUUCUUAAUUGAUUUGGGAAAUGACUAGAAAACAUUAUUUAUACAAAUAUAUAAUUAUGACAUGUUUUUAAAAGAUAUUAAAACCAAUAAAAUACAACGUAUAGUGAGACUUGAACUUAGAAUAUUAUGAUUUUCAAUCUUUAAUAUAUAGUGAGACUUGAACUUGGAACAUUAUAUAGUAGGACCUGAUCAUGGGUUGGAUCACUCGCUCGAAAAGUGAGUAAAAAUAUAUGUUUAAAAAAUGAGUUUGGAUAAAAAAUAAGGCAUGUUUUCUAAACGGGGCGAGCCUUAAGUAAGAUUUUUGGUCCAGACUUGGCUUGACCCGGCUCGAAUCUGCUUAAAUUUUUUUUGCUUUUGUUUUACUAUCAUUUUGUUGUUGUUUUGCUGUCAUUUUGCUAUUAUACUGCUAUUAUUUUCUUUUUAUUGUUUGGAUAUUAUAUAACUAUUAUUUUAUUAUUAAUUUUGCUACUAUUUUAGAGGUAUUUGAUUGCUAAGUUGUAACUAUCUUAACAUUAUUUAAUGUUUUUAAUAUAUUUGAUGUAUUAUAUAUUUUAAAUUUGUUUCAUAUAGAAAAAAAAUUAAUACAGAUGGGUUGAGUUUAGAUUUAACAUUUUUUAUCUAGACCAACAAAACUUUAAACCUAUUUUAUUGCUUGAAUCCCAACCUAGUAAAUGAAUUUAAAAUUUUGGCAUCAACCGGACCCGGCCUGAACUCGGCCCCACACGGCCUGGUUUCAGUUCUGAUACAAACAAAAUUACCCGGUUAGGCGUUUCUAUUUUUUGUUUUUCCUUUUUAAGAAAAUUCUUUCAAUUUCCUGGUAACCAAACAAAGUCUAACGGACCCCAGAAGUUAUGAACAGUCAAAUCGAAAAAGCGUUAUAUCAAACCUACUUUUCCUUUUUCUAAAACAAAUAAAAAAUAUUUAGCUUUGAUUUUGAGGUUUUGCGUGGCUAAUUGGUUAGGUUUUGUUUCAUUUGCAUUAGUAAAUUGGGACUUUAAUAGUAUUCUAGUUCUGAAAUUUCAGCUAGGUUUACCGGCGCACAUUUGAUGGAUUUUUUCCUCAAAUAUGUUGUUUUAUUUGUUGUUGACAUUUGCAUUAUUGCUUAUUCGAUUGUUCUAGCAAUUUAGGUGUUUUUGAAUUGAUGGCGGAUAGAAACACGGCCGCUUCAAAGCCUAUAUGGAUGAAACAAGCCGAGGAAGCCAAGCAAAAAACUGAGGCUGAAAAAGCUGCUGCUGCUAAAGCAGCUUUCGAAGCCACAUUCAAGGAUGUUGAUAAGAACCGUAACAAGGAUGUGGUGGCUGCUUCAUCGGAUAGUGAAUCCGAGGACACCGGUGACUUGGUGAACAAGCCAAUUGGUCCCGUGGAUCCCGUUAAUUGCAUGGCAGCGGGGCCAGGAAUAGCGGGUGGCACUGCCUGUGCUGCCUCCACGUUUAUGGUGGUAACGAGAGAUGCAGAUGAAAGGAAAGUACAGAGUGGGGGUGCGCAGAUUAAGGUGAGGGUUUCUCCAGGUGUGGGUGUUGGGGGCUCAGAACAGGAUGGCAUUGUGAAGGAUAUGGGAGAUGGGACUUACUCUGUAACUUAUGUGGUGCCUAAGAGAGGGAACUAUAUGGUAAACAUUGAAUGCAAUGGGAAACCCAUCAUGGGUAGCCCAUUCCCGGUGUUCUUCAGUGCAGGUAACAUCGUUGAAACUAUGUUUAUUCGGUUUUAACUGCAUGUUUAGCUGUCACUUGCCAUGCAUGACUUUGCAUGUUUCUUGUCCCUAUUUGAUUGUCUAUAUAAUACGUGGAUCUUUUAAUAUUCAAACCUUGCCAUGCAUGACUUUGCAUGUUUCUUGUCCCUAUUUUAUUGUCUAUAUAAUACGUGGAUCUUUUAAUAUUCAAACCUUUGGAGUAUUUUUUGCUUCUAAUAUGAAAUGCAGUCUUUUGUAUAUUAGUUUUGUUAUUCUAGGUGAAGAAGGCUCACGAUUAGGAAUUUGAAAAGUUCCCAAUGAUAUUCACCUUCUCAUUACUUUGCACUCACUGUCCAUAUAAAAUUGUUGUUGAAUCUCUGUUCUUACUUUUGGCUUCACUUGUAAGCGUGGUUCUUGGUUGCAGUCUGUAGUGCUCAGGGCAUAGAUGUUGAAUUUUUGUUAUGCAGGUACGUCUACCGGAGGACUACUAGGGGUGGCUCCUGCAUCCACAUAUCCAAAUCUAGUAAACCAAACCAUGCCCAACAUGCCAAACUAUACAGGUUCUGUUUCUGGAGCUUUCCCUGGCUUGUUGGGAAUGAUCCCAGGCAUUGUUUCUGGUGCUUCAGGUGGUGCUAUAUUGCCAGGAAUGGGGGCAUCUCUUGGGGAAGUUUGUCGAGAAUACCUCAAUGGCCAUUGUCCUAAAACUGAUUGCAAAUUGAACCAUCCUCCUCACAAUUUGCUGAUGACUGCUUUGGCUGCAACAACCAGCAUGGGAACUCUUAGUCAGGUACCUAUGGCACCUUCAGCGGCUGCAAUGGCUGCAGCUCAGACUAUUGUUGCUGCUCAGGCCCUUCAAGCUCAUUCAGCUCAGGUGCAAGCACAAGCUCAGUCAAUUAAAGAUUCAUCUGGUACUUUUUGCACUAUCUUAUUUUGAACUGUCUGUUUCUUUGUUAAUUUAUUUCCCAAGUUCUAUUUAUUUUGUUGGGCUCAAGCUAAUGGUUGUCUGCUGCGUGUCAGAUUCUCCUGACAAAGCUGGGAAGGCUGAUGCAUUGAAGAAAACCCUACAAGUUAGCAAUCUUAGCCCACUUCUCACAGCUGAGCAGUUGAAACAGCUUUUUAGCUUCUGUGGUUCUGUUGUCGAGUGUACAAUCACUGAUUCAAAACAUUUUGCUUAUAUAGAAUACUCAAAACCUGAGGAAGCAAUGGCCGCUUUGGCAUUAAACAAUAUGGAUAUUGGUGGUCGACCAUUAAAUGUGGAGAUGGCUAAAACGCUUCCUCAGAAACCAGCUAUUUCAUCAUUGACAUCAUCGUCUCUGCCUAUGAUGAUGCAGCAAGCUGUUGCCAUGCAACAGAUGCAAUUCCAACAGGCUUUGCUUAUGCAACAAACCUUGACUGCUCAGCAGGCAGCUAAUCGAGCCGCAAGCAUGAAGUCUGCAACAGAGUUAGCUGCGGCAAGAGCUGCCGAAAUAAGUAAGAAGCUAAAAGCUGAUGGGCUUGUUAAUGAAGAGAAGGAAAUCAAGAGUGAAUCUAGGUAUGUGUCCUCAUCAGGACAAAUGUGCUUCCUUACAUACAUGUCUUGUUACUUAAGGCUUACUUUUUGGUUAGGUCCGAAUGCUUCAAUAUUGUUAAAGAAUGAAGUUACUUAUUGAGCUACAUAAGGAAUGCAAGCAGAGUUUCGCUAUUUGUUAUGAUACGUAGAACACCUAUGUUUGCUCCUUUAGGUUUAUUGUGGUAUGAUGGACUGCAGCAGCAGCACUUUUUUCAACAAAUAAUGUUUAUGAUUCACUAUUUAAUUAGGAGCAGAACAGUAGAAGAGGUAUCUUUUUGUAAUGAUUCUCUUUUUGUUGUUAGAUCUUUGAUUAUGUCUUUCCAGAAGAUGCUUUUACUUAUAGGAACCAAAGGAGAUCACUGUGUUUCCCUUUUUUGUCUCUAUGUUAAAGGCUUCAAAUUUGCUUAAAAGUAAAUUGAAGUUCUUCUAAAUCAUUACUUACAGGUCACCAUCUACUUCCCGUGCACGGUCAAGAUCAAGAUCUAAAUCAAAGUCACCCCUCAGUUAUCGAAGACGGUCAAGGUCAAAGUCAAGAUCACCAAUCAGCUAUAGGCAAAGGAGGAGGUCUCACUCUUAUUCACCUCCACCUCGUUUCCAGCGAGACCGUAGGUCCAGAUCACCUGAGCAGUCUCAUCAUUGUUCAAGGUAUGAUAGUGAAAGACUGUCAUAUAGAGAUCAAAAUGACAAUGAUAGGAGUAGGAGAAGAGAUCUGGACAGAUCACAUGAUCCUCGUUCUUCUAUUUUGAGGAGAAAUAGGAGUAGGAGCCCUCAAAUAAGAAAAUCACUUGCUGUUGAUUCAGACUCCCCAAAACAUAGCCGAGAAAGUUCACCAAAGGUGAGGAGAUCAUCCCGUCCUGGUUCGAGAUCGCCAAGGCAUCGUAGAAGAAGGUCAUCUCCAAAGGAUGAUGAAAGAAAAUCAAAAUGCAGAAAGCGCUCUAGGUCAAAAUCUGUCGAUUCUGAUAACAAAAAGGAUGAAAAAUCAAAGCACCACAGCAGAAGGCGCUCCAGGUCAUUAUCUUCAGAAGGUAAGCAUCGAAGAAGCAGGUCUUCUGCAAGUUCAGAUGAUAACAAAUCAAAACACAGACGGCAGACCUGGUCAGUUUCUCCGGAAGGCAAGGUUCGCCCCCACAGUAAAAUUGAUGAAACAAAAAAUGAUGAGUUGAAACAUAGUCAUAAAAGGCGAUCUCGGUCUAUAUCUACUGAAGGUAGGCAGUACGCCAAAGAGAGGAGUGGUAGAAGUAGAGAUAAGAAGUCUAACCAUUGGGAUAGAAGGCAAUCGAGGUCAAGAUCUGCUGACCGCAAGCAUCCCAAAGGAAGCAGGCUGUCCCCCAGAAAUUCAGAUGAGAAAAAAUCAAAACACCAAAGGCGCUCUAGGUCAAAGUCUACUGAAUUCAAGCAACUUUCCAUUGAUAAAACGGAUGAAAGAUCAGAAUGCUGUGCGGAAAAACAUUUUUUAUCUGCUGAAGAUAGGCCUCCUAGAGGAAGAAGAUCUUCUCCAAGAAGUUCUGAAGACAAUGAUUCAAGACCAAGAAGGCGCUCUAGGUCAAAGUCUGCUGAAGGUUGAUAUUAUUUGGAUAGUGUGAAUAAAUGUUCACUUUUUGGCAUAAAAGCAGGAAAGACUGGAGAUUGUAUCAAGCUGCUUACUUCCAUUGUGAAUGAUAUAAAAAUGCAGGGGAUGAAGGAAUGUUGGUUUCAAAAGAGGGCUCCAAAGUUUCUGUAAAUGAUGGUCAGGAAUCAAAGAGAAAAUGUUUUCUGCACUUUGGUAAUGCUGAAGGACUCUCACCAAAUAAAAGGUCGGAUGCAGAAGAAGCAAACAAACUUGAAAGAUCAAGUGGUAAGCAGUGGCUUGAAAUUAAUGCUAAUGUCACUGUUCACCAAAAAAUAACUUAACAUCAAUAGAGUUGUAUAGUAAAUGACUAAUAGUAACUUCUAUAUGAUUUCCUUUGCAGAAUUAGAAAAUCAUUCAAUUUCUCCUCAGCCGAAAUGAGUUGUGGGCUUUAUGUGGAACUGGAAUUUGGGGAUUUCUGUGAUCAUUGACUUCUGAGUCUCUAGUUUAGGCGUGUUUCAGCUCAAGCCAAGCUUGUUCAGAUAUGAUCAACUUAUUUAGAGUUUAAUGAGCUUUUGGCUCUUAUAUGAAUGGCAGCUCUAAGAGAUUGCUUAGUGUUUAUUUUGGUGCUCAGGUUUUUAGCCAUUUUUUGGUUCUUCAUAUGUGUAUGCCCUUUGUGCUCUUUUUUGAUCCUUCGCAGGAAUGUGGAACAGGUUGUAAUUGAAGUCUCUGAGAUGUCAUUUACUAUGGAUAAAGUAUUCCAAGCUGUGUUCUGCUUUCUUCUGGAAUCAACCAUGCAAUGUUUGUAGCAAGCUUCUUUUACUGCUAGAUGCAUGUUGGACCAUUAUCUCCAUUGCUGAACUGUGAAUUUAAUUUUUGUUUAUUUGAAAGUUCGAUUCCUUGUUUCCAUUAACUUUGCCUCUGUAUUGAAUUAUUUAGAAACUCAUGUAUUAGCAGGUGUGCAUGUACCUGAAGUCAUGUGCCCUCCAAUCUGUUGAUUGUAGAAUAGGGGCUUGUUACUGUCAGUCUAGAAAAUAAGUGAUCCAUGUUGGGAAGCUAGAUCUUACUGUAGGCCUCUUUGAUCUGCCUUUUUGGUUACUGAUUCUUGUUUUCUUACAGCCACCUCUGCCUUCUAGCAGUCUUUAUGUUCUACAACUAUUGUCCUUUCUUUGAUGAACUUGAUCAUAGGUUCCAUUUUUUCUUUUUUGCCUUAGAUGGUCUGGAUGGCCUGUUAUAUCCCUACUCAUGCAGGUUUUAUAAAUGGUGUUCUUGCUGAAGCUGUUCAAUGAUAAUUUUUGGAGGGUUGGUUUUUAAUUAAUCUAUGUGAAGGUAUGCAGUUGCUUUGUGGUAGAGAGCUAAUGCUAUUAAAUUUCUAUUGAUAAUUUUGAAAUUUGUUUAGCGUUGAUUGAUAGAAAUAUGAAUGAAUGCAUUUAUCUGCUGCCGUCUGCAAUACUUUGUAACUUUCCUUUUUAUUUUUAUUUUAAUUGUGUUACCAACCUGGUUCUUUAUCUAGUCCCACUUUUUUACUUUCCUAUUUUUGUUUUGUUUUGUUUUCAUUUUGUUGUUUUUCCUCCUUUCCAAGGAAAGUUGUUGGCGAAAGCUACUUUAAGGUCCUGUGUAACCAGAUUCCUUUGGGAUGAAUGUCUCUGUUUGAUCCCCAUGACAGAUUGGUUAAUCACUUAAGUUCAUGGUUUGUCACAGGUAAUCUUCUAUGCCAGUGUUAGGCUAGUUCUGUUUUAUAAUACUACUAAUUAGCAAGUUAAAAUUGCUUGCACUUUGUCUCCUAGAUAGAUAGGUAUUAAUUCUUUUGCUAUGGUAACUUAAACUUGCUUCUGGUCAAUCAAAAUUCUGUUGAUCAACUGAAGCAAUUUGUAACCUUUAGCACUCUGCUUUAUCUCAUGGUCACACUGGGAAAACUUCAUCUAACCACUAUCAGGUUCCUAUUUGGGAUUUGAGACAUUAUUUGGUCAUCUCAUUGGAGCUAGGUCUGUGCUAGUUUAAUCAUUUAGAAUUUAAACUCUUAAGAUACUUUGUUUUGGUUGAAGAUUGCAUAUGCUUUUUGCACUCAAGGAGAAAAGGCAUAACUCGCUCAUCUUUUCCACCGUCCUGUCUUCUUUUUUUCUCUUUUUUCAAAGUCUUCCCCCCCCCUCCCCCUCUUUUCUUUUCCUUUGGUUUCUUUUCUAGGGUUGAAGCAUGGAUAUCAGGAUAUGGUGAAUAAGAGCUGAACUCAGCCUUGGUCUCAAACAUCUUGUUGCAUUUGACAAAAUCUAUUAAUAAUUCCCAAUUCCCUCCUAUAGAAAUCCACCCUGUCUCUCUCAUGCUGCUUUCCCGUUUAUGUAAUGUUGAUCCUGUAUUUUUAUCCUCUCAUUUUAUGCACAUCUUCAGUCGUUGGCCAUGCCCGAGUGGUCUGACAAGUUAAUGAUAGGUGAUGAGUUCAGGACAUUUUGAUUUGUGAAGCUGUAGUUCCUAAAUAGUGUACCCUCCCUCAGCAAGGGAGUAGGAUUCGGUUCAUUAUCAUUACCAUAUUUACUUGUGUAGGCUUUAUUUAUUGAUUAAUUAUAAAAUUCAUACUUUUCAAGAAACCUAGCCUGCCCUCUCAUUCUAUUUAUUUAUUUUAUUUCAACUAUUAAGCUAAGCAAAAAGAGGUGCGCCAAUUUUGAAUUCAUGGUUCACCUCAUAUUAUAUGUUUAGAAAUGCAGAUUGAGUUUUAAAAAAUGAUGUUUUUAUUUUACUUAUUUUUCUUUCAUAAGUGCAGGAUGAAAAUUAUCAACUGAUUGGAUGCAUUGAGAAGAUAUGAAACUAAUAAUAAUGAAUGAGUUUUUAAGAUGGAAUUUAUUUAAUGGAAUUAUGCAUCAUGGCUCAUGCACCUCCUGUUUAACACAAUUUAGGAUCACAGACUAAAUUCACUCUGAAAGGUGUGCUUAAAAUGAGAUCACAAAACUAAAAAAACAAAUUCGAGAUUUAUUUAUUUGGUGACAUCUUGGAAAAAGAUAAACAUACAAAAAUUCUCUUGAAGAGCUACUGCUGUUAAAAUCUACAACUUUCUAUAAUGAAAUAUAUUUAUUUUAAAAUAUGGUUUCUUAUUUACACAUAAAAAAAAUGUUAAACGUAUCUAAAUAAAAAUUCAACUAGAAUUGGAUCGAGGAGGCCUAAAUAAAAUUUUUGAUAAUCUUGCAUACUGAAUUACGGUUCAUUAAAUAAUUUUUUUUAUCUAACUUAAAAUAUAAAUAUUAAUGUAAAAUAUCCUAAUAUUUAUAAAAUAAUGAAAUAGUAGAAUAGAUUUUUGGGACCGAGGCAGACUCGAACGAAAAGGUAAAGAUAUCUUGAGUCAAUCUAGUUAGAUCCUUUAAACACCUAAAAAGCAUGUGAGAAAAGCCAUCAAAAUUUGCGAUAAUAAUAACGGUUACUUUGAUUCAGAAAUAAUUUGCGCAUCCAAACAACAUUGCUCUAUAUUAUUUUGGAUAAACAACAUUUUUAAUAAUAUUUCUAUUUUACUCUCUCAAUUAUAAAUAUGUCAUUGUUUUCAUAAAAUAGUUUAAUGUCAUUAAAUAGUUUUAACCAGUGACAGAUGUGACCUUUUUUAUUAGCAUAAUAACAAAUAGCUCUUUAAUAUUUAUACAUUCUAUUAUUUUAAACUAAAUUAUAAAAAAAUUCAAAAAUUUUUAGAAAUAGAGAUUUACAAAAAAAAUUCGAUACAAAUUCUAAAAUUUUAUAAAAAUGCAUAAAAAUUUAUAAAAGAUAAAUAAAAAUAAAAAUGGUGUUUGUUAGAAACUGACUGCUUGCCCCAUUUUAUGUUCGAAUAACAGUUAGAACAAGCAAAGUCAAAACAAUCAAAGUAUUUGUAUUGGCAUGUUUGACUUUUGAUUAAAUCUCUUUAAAGCAAGAAAUGAGGAGAUAUUUCAUAGCCAACAUUUUGGAAUAAUCAUGAUCAUCAACUCAUGUAACUUGGAGACGAAGUGGAGAAGAUUGAAAUGCUUGUAGAGGCUACGCUUAUCCUUAUAUUAAGUGAUCAGAGGUUGUUGAGUAAAACCAAAUAAUGAUAGAAUUAAUGGUAUUAUUUAUUAGAGAAUUCGUGUAGAUAAUUUCAAUAUUUAAAUAAAGUGAUAAACCUUUAUCUUGUGGUUGGAGAUCAUGCUAUAUUCAUGGCCUAUAUAUUAGCAGCUUAAUAACGAUAGUGGUGGAUAAUUUUUUUAGUGUCUUCAGCAUUUGUAUUUUUCUAAUUUAUUGGGUAAAUUAGUGACACUCUUUUAUUAUUUGUUGGAGAAAGUUUUAUUGUUUGUAUGUGUGGAUAUUUUUGGGAGAGUGAUUUGUAACAAUUUGGGUUUAAUAUUAAGGUUGCAAACAUUUGUUGGUGUAAGGGUAGUUUGGGCAUUAGUUGAUAGUUGAUUUGGACGAACUGUGGAAUAAAUUCAUUCUUUUAGUGAGGUUCCUGUAAAGUAGGAUUAGAGAAUCCAAACUACAUUAACGAAUAUUAUUUGUUAUCUCUCCUUACUUUCAUCUUUGCUUUACUUUGUCUUUUAAUCUAUUCUAUUCAGUUCUGUUCCAACCUUUGUUCUAAUAAAAGUUAGAAUGAAAUUGGUUUUUAGUUGCAAACCAAGUUAUUUGUUCUAACAGUAUUUCGAUCAUAAAAUUUGGUACGAAGUGCAAUCUAGGCCUUCUUCAAUUGGUAUUAGAGCUGGCUACAGACGUACAUGAAGAUGAUCCUGUGUUCAAAUUUGCAACUAUGGAAUCUAUUAAUGUGAUUAAGGAGCAAUUAACUUCACUUACCAUAGCGUUUAAAAUUUUUUCUAAGAAUGGAAUGAAUUUAGAUGUUGAUAAGAACAACCAUAGAAGAAGAUCCAUGUAAUUUAUGAUAAUUUUGAGCCCAGGAAAAGGUAAAUUCAAUGCUAUGAAUGCAAGAGCUUUGGUCACAUUCAAUCUGAAUGUGCUAACACCAUCAAGAAGAAGCAAAAUUCACUUGCUAGGAGUGAUGAAAAGUUUAGUGAUCUUAAUAAUUCAAAUAAAGAUUUAAACAACUAUGUUGAUUUUACUACCUUUGUUCCACAAGUUCCAACUCUUGUUCCAAUAAUUGUGGAACAAAAGAUGAUUUAGAUCAUGAUGUUGAGCCAUAUGAUUCAAUAUUCCUAUCAACAUAUAAUAAAGAAGAUGGAAAUAUUGUGUUAGAUGAAUGACUUAUUGAGAGAAGAAGUCAUCAUUCUUAAAAGGGAAAAUGUAAAGUUCAAAAAAGGGGUUGUUCUAAAAAAAACUAAAAAGGAGUUAGCUGAUGCCAAUGUUGUUUUAAAGAAAUUUGGAGACCAAAGUGAGAAGCUUGAUGAAAUUUUAGUUUCAAAGAGAUUUGAACUAGACCAUAGAGGAUUUGGUUACAUCAAUAAAGGUAAGGAACUUAUGAUUCAUACAAUUUUAAUUAAAGCAAAAGAAGUAAGUUCUUUUUAAGAGGGAAAAAAAGAUUUAUUUGUAAUUAUUGUGGAAUAUAAGGACACAUCAAGCACCACUAUUACAAGAUGAUAUGUGAUUGGGAAAAAUUCAAGGUUGUUGCAAAACCUGUUAUAACAACAAAUACAAGAAGGAGACCAUGAAAAAGCUUAUUUGGGUGAGAAAAGAUAAGCCACAUUUGAGUUAUGAAGAUCAACAAUUUAUCAAUGCUCGUGUGAAGUAUGUGAUUACAAUUUCUGUUGAUAAAUUUAAUAUCUAUCGAGGAUCAGACAUACUCCAUCUAGAUUUCAUGAAAAAUAUCCUUGUUGUUCCAUGAGAUAUAAUCCCUAUUAUUGAUGUAACAUUCGAUCUCAUUCUCUUUAAACAACAUGAUGCAAACUAAUUGGGAAUUAAUAGAGUAAGGGGGAGCAAUACUGUUGAUUUUACUUAUGGUUGAUUCCAAUGCUUCUAUACUCUGAAUUGAUGCUGAUUUGGUGUUAUUGGUUAUUUGUUUUUUUUUGUUAUGUUAAUUAUUGUUGUUUUAAUUGUGCUUCAUGGUGACUCUAAAUGAAAAUAUAGAAGCUUUUUUUAAGUAUAAUUGAAGAAAAGGCUUUAUGUAAUCAGUGAAAAUUGCGGAAUCAAACUAAAGAAAGAUAAGGAUGUUUUAAACCAUAUAAUAACAACAUAUGGAACAACCUUGAUUCAACUUGUUGCAAUUGAACAAGAGGCAGAGAUUUGGAUAUCUUGAGGGUUGAAAUGAAUUCAUCAAUAUUAAGUUUUAGAGAUUGAAGGCUAAGAAAUAACGGUUGUUAAGCUGUUAGUGAAAGGACCACUGAGAAAAGGGGAAGAGAUGUGCAACAAAUUCUUAUCGCUACUGAUAAAUGGUUGAUGCUGGUUUGAACUGCUAUUCAACUUCUAGACUUUUAUUACCAUUUUCAAUUUUUAUGGUGGCUAUUUUCUCUCUUUUUGGUUAUGAGUUUAGUUUAUUUCAGAUGCUUUGUACUCCAUGUUAUUUUUGAGGUUUGGUACACAAUGUGAUUAUAACACCCCAUAUCCAACCUGAUCGUUAGGUUUGAGCUACGGAAUGUCACAUUUAUUAUCGGAGUAACUACAAUAACAUUCAAAAAUCAAAUACACAGUUUGUACAUUUCAUUAGGACUAAUACUUAUUUAUAAUAUGACAUCUAAUCAAAUUCAGGAUUUAAACGAGCUUACGAAAGCUCUUUCGAUAUCUCGAGGUCGAAUGAGGAGCAAAAUGCAACAUUUUUAAAAUUUUUAGGUUGGUAUCACGAUGUUGAGGGUAUCACGUCACGACGUCACCUACUGUUUUCAAAGUAUCCAAAUGGUUCCAAAUCACAACACCUAGAACAAAAAACCAAUUGCAUCAUUUCAUUAAUUUAAGCUUCAUACAUAAUUCAAACACUUCAUAUAAUAUCAUUAUUAUCCAAACUAACAACAUGACCAUUCACAACUCAAAUCCAAACUUAAUACUUAUGAACAUUUACACCAUUUAACCAUUUAAACCUUAUACCAUAUACAUGAUAACUACAACAUCUCAUAUGCUUAAGUUCAAAAUUUACAUAAACUAAUCAAAAUAUCAGUUUGACCAAUUCACAACCUAAAACCAAUUCAACCCUUGGUACAUGUCACAUAUUUAAAACAUAAAGAACUGUACAAACAUUGUUAAGUCAAGAGGUGAAGUUUGGAUGUUGGAUCAGUCCUCGAGACCUCAAGAUCUUCUAAUACCUGCGCACGAAAUAAACAAACCGAAUGCUAAGCAAUAAAGCUCAAUAGUAUUUUCAUGAUUCAAGUCAAUAGCAUUAACAUUAAUAAGAACUAAUGUAAUUCAAUAAAGGAUUUAGUCAUAACCAUUUCAAUUCACUUCCUUAUGUAUCAUAUACCAAUUCCAUACACUAAUUCAUUUGGCAAUUUCAAAUGAUCGUACCAUACCAUGCUUUCUAAUAUAUACCACAACCAUUUUCUAUCCAUUUCCAUUCCUACUUAUUCAUAUAACCAUCUAACUGCAUAUAUAAAUAGAUAUAUACCAAUUUGAUGCUCAACUUCAUUCUACCAUCUCAUUCACUCUUGAGUCUAUUGGCUCGUUCAUAUUUAAAUUAGUCCCCAGGGCUCAUUUUUAACCGGUUCGCAUGAUCUUUCACAUGAUGUUGUUUUUCCACAUUCCAUAUAUAUGCACCAAUUCAUGUUUUAUAAACUCUAUUAACCAAACCGGGACUCAAGACGGAUACACGGAUCUAUUACUUUGUCAUCCCAGGUUGCCCAAAAAUGAUGACUACUAGAAUAUGUACAUACUACCACCUCGGGUUGCUCGACAAUGGUAGCUUUCACAAUCUAUUUACUCUAUCAUCCUGGGUUGCCCGACAACGAUGACUACUAGCAUAUGUACAUUCUACCACCCUGGGUUGCCCUAUAACGAUGGUUUCUAAUCACUAUACUUGACCCUAGGGCAUGCCAACUAUAUCUGACUUUACCCGAACAACUAAUAAGGUAAUCAAUGUUUUAAUUACAUAUCAUAAACCAAUCUGCAUAUCAUGAUCACAUGUCAUAACCUCAUUUUAUAUUGUGCUCAUUUCUACCAUGCUCAGAACAAUUUACAAUCUUUGCAUUCAAUACCAUCGACAUAAUUGAAUUCUAAACAAAUAAAGUUUUACCUUAAUAGUUAAUAUGCAAUAAACAUGUAUAUGUAUGUAUAUAAAUGGAAUGACCUCAAAUCAUAAAAGUACAAAACUCGUCGUCAUCGUUAGCUACGUUUGACAAUUCAAUAAUAAAAACAACAUCAGUUUACAUCCAAUUAACAUUCAAAUACAUAGCCAAACAUAUUUUGUAUUUAAUUCAAUUUAGUCCCUAUAUCUGGGAUACUCGUAUUUUAAUGUCUAACAGCGGAUUAAAAUCUUAUUUCACAUUCUUUCAUUAGAGACUUUAUACUUCCUAUCUAUAACAUAAUUUCAUGAUAGUUUUCAAUUUAUUCAAUUUAAUCCCUAAUAUUACCAAGUUAUCUAACGAGCUUAAUUUAGUUUCCAAUUUAGUAUUUAUCAUGAUCUAAGCUUAUUAACUAUCAAAUUCAAGCCUAAUUCAUCAAUUUCUUUAUAAUGGAAAUUUGAUAAAUACUUAACAAUUAAAGAAAUUGAUACAUGGGCUAGCUAAAUCAGUUCACAUGAUUCAAUUUCCAUGAAAAUAUUAAAGGACUAGUUUGAUUACCUUAAAGAAUUUGUGGCCGAAAGUUGUUUAAAAAGCUUGAAACUUUCUUUCUUUCUUUCUAAAGGUGGGACGACAUGAACUAAGUGAGGAAGAUGAUGUUCUCUUUCUUUCCACUUGAUUUCUAAAGUUCACAUCAUUAGUAAUUUUUAAUUAACAAUUUGAACAUGUUUAAUUGACUUAAUUAAGGUUUAAUUAUACAUUUUAAUUAUCAUAUUAAAACUAAGUGAGAAACCCAUCAUCUUCCACUAUCUCAUGACAACCAAUGGUUACUUAACCAUUUUAGUCUUUUGAAUAAUUGUUAUCUAGGUCUUCAAGCAUUUUUCUAAAAUAAAAUUCAAUAGUGAUUAUAAUUUUACAAUUUAGUCCCUGUGUUUUAAUUAUCUAUUUUCUCGGUUAAAUUACUUAACUGAUCUUCAAUAUAUUUUCAUGAUAGCUUAAUUAAUCUUUAUAUUUCAUCCUUACAAACUCGACUUACAAAAAUAGGAUUUCAAAAUCGCAUUUUUUGACACUACCUAAAAUCAAGUUGUUACAAUGAUGGCCAAGCAUGCAUGUUGAUAAGGGGAGCUUCUUUUGAGUAUCUUAUUUGGUAGCUUUGACAAAAAAAAAGGGGGGGAAAGUCUUUAGGCAGAAAAUGAAUUUGGUGAACUUGGAUAUGGUAGCAAACUUAAUGUUCUGAUGCUUAUGGUGUUUAUUUUUAGAUAUGUGCAGCACGUUUCUUUAUACUUGGUUGAUGAUUGAUGAACAAGCACAAAACUCGAUGACUCAAGUUGAUAGGGGGAGUCUUUAGUAUGAUGCACCUUCUUAGGUAAAGUUUUAAUUAGUUUCCUUUAUUUGCACUCAUAUGUGUUGAGAGUACUAAUCGUUUAUUGUUGUUUUUUUUAAAUGCCAAAGGAGGAGAUCAUUGGAAACUUUGAUUGUCUGUAUUGCUUGUCCCAUUUCAUGUUCAAUAGUAGUUAGAAUAAGCUAGUUUGGAAAUUAAAGUUUUUGUGUUGGCAUGUUUGAUUUUUUAUUAAAUCUCAUUAAAACAACAAAUGAGGAGAUAUUUUGUAGCCAACAUUUUGGAAUCAUCAUCAUCAUUUGCUAGUGUAACUUGGAGAAGUAGAGAAGAUCGAAAUGCUUGUAAAGUCUAGGCUUAUCUUAAGUGAUUAAAGGUUGUUGAGUAAAACCUGAUAAUGAUGGAAUUAAUGGUAUUAUUUAUCAGAGAAUUCGUGUAGAUAAUUUCAGUAUGUAAAUAAAGUGAUAAAGCUUUAUCUUGUGGUUGGAGGUCAUGCUAUAUUCAUGGCCUAUAUAUUAACAUCUUAAUAACAAUAGUGGUGGACAAUUUUUUUUAAUGUAUUUAGCAUUUGGAUUUUGCUAUUUUAUUGGGUAAAUUAGUAACACUCUUUUAGGUAUUUGUUGGCGAGAUUUUUAUUGUUUGUAUAUGAGGAUAUUUUGAUAAGAGUGAUUUGUAACAAUUUGGGUUCAAUAUUGAGACAGCAAUUAUCGAUUGGUGUAAGUAAGGUAGUUUGGGCUUUAGCUGAUAGUUGAUCCGGACGAAUUGUGGAAUAAAAUCAUUCUUUGAGAAAGGCUUCAUAGAGUAGGAUUGAAAAAUCUAAACUGCAUUAACAAAUGUCGAAACCAGUUUUAGAUUUAAAAAAAUAGGGAUCGACUUUGAAAAUGAAAAUGGGAGUUGCCACCGAUCUUUUAUUGAGGUGCGAUCGGAUCGCCUUGAAAAUAAUUUUAGGUCUGCGAAUUUUGAGAAAACAGGUUCGGGAGUCGGUUACGCACGAGGAAGGGUUAGCACCCUCGUGACGCCCAACAUUGGUACCAAAUUGAUUGGUUAAUGUCUUAGAGUGGAAAUUUUGAAAAGAUUUUAAAAAUACAAUCCUUUUAAAUUUUAAAUUUGAAUAAACCAAAUUGAGCAGCAAGAUGUACUCAUUUUGCAGAAAUAAAUUGCUACACUCAGUGAGUUAGGGUGUAACAAUUCAAUCUUCAAAAUUAGAUUUGUUCCCUUCUUAAGAAAAUCAUGUGUUUAAUGAAGGUUACUUGAUUUUUUAAGUCAAUCAAGAAACCAAAAUCCAGUAAGUUAGGGUUCAAUUUCUCGAAAUUCCUAAACCUCAAAUAUUACCUUUAUUUUAAAAUCGGGACAACAAAAUAUCGUAUCCAGUAAGUUAUGAUCCAACAUUUUGUAAUCUUAAGAAUUUUAUUUUAACAAUCGUAUGGUUUUAACAAAAUGAACACUUGAUAAUCUAAAUUCAUCGAGAAAAAUUGAAGCCCAGUAAGUUAGGGCACAAUUCUCUCGGGAGCUUAUGAACACCACGCUUUUUUAGGAACUUUGAAAUAAAACAAUUAUAAUGCUUUAAUGAAUGCAAUUCUUACAAAUAGAACAUAAUUGAAUAGCAAUACAUGUAAUGUAAAAGACAAAUAACUAUCUAAAUUUAAACUAGAAGCAAUCAAGCAAGUAAUAGGCUAAUAUAAACAUUCUUUAAUCAUGUUAUACAAACAUCCACAUUAAUAAUUAAGCAACCUAAAAAUUAAUAAUCAAUAAAUAAAAAACUUUGAAACAAUAAGAAAAAGGAAAAGAAAAAAAAUAGUAACAAUGAAUAAGAUGAAUAUUUGAUACAAUUUUGGUAAUUGAACCAAAAAAAACAAAUAAAAGGGUUGAAUAAAUUCUAAUGAAAGAUUUUAAACAAAGGGAAAUAAAAUAAAAGUGAAUAACAUAAAAUUAGCACUUAUAUUUUGAUUUAUAAAAAAAAUCUAGUAUAAAUAAUCAUACAUACAUAGUAAUAAUGUACAAAAGUUAAAUAAAUGAAAUAAAAUAACAAAUUUAAAAGGAAUAAGGUUUCUAUGCAUAAAAAAUAUCAUUUGAAAUUAAUAACAUAUUAUUAUAUAUAUAUACACAUAUAUACUAAAAAAUACUACAUAUACCUAUAUAAAAAUAUGAAGUAUUAUUAAAACUUGAAGUUAAUUAUAUAUAUAUACACGUGAACAAAAAAUAAAAGGUAUGUAUAAAUUAUAUUAAGGUAAUAUCCUAAACAUAUAUAAGAAUAUUUAUAAAAUUAAGAAUUGAGUAUAUAAAAUAAUAUGAUAUAAUAAAAAAUUUAUAGAAAGAUUAGGUUAACUGAUACCCGUAUAUAUAUAAAACUAUUAAAUAUAAUAACGACAAAUGAUAAUAAACUAAUUAAUUUAACGAAAGUGGAUCUAUUUGAAUUCAAACAAAAUACUAAGGGUUAAUUUAAAACAAAUGAGCAAUCGUCCAUAUUGAAAGCCACUGAAAAUCACAGGGACCAUCGUAGCAAUUUAACACAAAAAUCCUCUUUGGCUUACAGAUUGAAAUACUCAAAACGGCAUCGUUCUAAACUGUACUCAAUUGAAAUCCAAAUCAAUAGUAAGAUAUAAAUUAAAAUAAAUAAAAAAUUUGAAUCAAAGUCAUAUAAAAUGUAGAAGGGUCUACUGCGCAAAUAGACCGUACAACAAGAAUGCGCGGAUCCUCCCCGGGUCGGGUCACUGCGUGGGUCAAAGGCCGCUAAACGGCGCCAUUUUACAGGCGUUUUAAAAGGCAAAAAAUUUGCUACCCUACUGACUAUUUCAGAAUAAAAGAAAAGAAAAAGGAUAAAAAAACCCUAAGGGUUUCGUUCCCUGCCCAAGUGUCGCUCUUCGCCUCGAAUCCGAUCGUACCAGAGGAGGACGCGAGCUUCGACGGCGUCGACGUCAAGAUGAUAUCCCCUCCUUUCUCUGUGUUUUAUCUCAUGCAUAAGAACGUAAAAAAAUAAAAUAAAAUAAACAAUGAACCCACAAAAGAAAUUGAAAGUCGCCUCUGUUUCCUCUUUUUUUUUUGUUACACAAGAUUUGUCAUAAAAAAACAGAAAAGAAAGAAAAACGCAGAGAAAAAGAUGAAAAGAUACCUUCCCAAACUCAGUCUUUUUUUGUUUUUUAUUGAUACUGGUGUGUAACCCUUACAAAAGGCUCUCUGUUUGUUCUUAUAGCCGAAAUCCGUGAGAAAAAUGAAAAAUAACCCCCCAAAUCCCUUUUUUACAUUUUUCUUAUUUACUCCUCUUUUUUUCUGAUUUGCUGUCGAUUUCUCUUUUUUUUCUUUGCCUUUUCUGCUUUGUUGCGUUCGUUUGUCCUUCUUGCAGGUACAACGUACGGAGGGUGGACGUGGCACGUACGGAGGCGAGCGCGAGGGCAAAGGCUCGGAGCGUACGGAGGCUGGUCACGCGCGGAAGGCUUGGCUGCAGCGCAUGAAUCUUUUAGGGUUUUAUGUUUCUAAUUUUUGUUUUGGGCUGCAUUAUGAUUGGGCUAGGGGUAUUGGGCUUAGGCUAAUAGGGUUUAGUUUACUGGGCUGUGUUGAUUUUGGGUUUGUAAAAACAGGACAUUGUUUAUUGUUUUUAUUUUUUUAUUUUUUGUUUAUUUAAUCUGUAUGGGCCCGUGCUAAAAUUGGGCCUAAGAACAAAUAUUACAUGUUAUCUCUUUACUUUGCUUUCUGUUUACUUUGUCUUUAAUUUGUUCUAUUCGAAUCUAUUUCAACCUUCAUUCUAACAGAAGUUAGAACAAAAUUAUUUUUUAGCUACAAACCAAGUUACUUAUUCCAACAAUAUUUCGAUUAUUAAAGUUGGAACAAAGUGCAAACCGAGGCUUCUUUAGUGUCAAUCAGUAAAGCAUAAUUUGUUCAACGAAUAAUGUCAAUAAUGGUGAUGAUUGUUUCCACAUCUAACAUAAGUAAAUGAACAAAGUGUAGAUAUGAUGUUCUGGUGACCUGGUAGGCACAAUGAGAUUGCAAGAAAAAUAAAGUACAAAAAAAAAAAUUAACACUUAAACAAGGAGCGCAUUAACACACAAUAAUUUCAAGGCUUUAACAUAAAUAUAUAUUCAUUUUAGAUUUUAGGGCUAGAAUGUAUGAAAAUUGAAACAUUAAUUUACAAAGUUGAAUUUCAAAUGUGCAACAUAACUAAAUCCAGUCUUCAAAUUUAAAUAACUCAUAAAUCCCAAACAAAAGGAGUAUAUAUGUUUACAAUAGAACUAACCGUAACACAAUGGAUCUUAUUAGCCAAUUUCUCCUAUGCAGUUUUUGGCCAUUGCUUAAAUAAUGGCUUAAUUGAACAGGACUAUAUCAUUUGUUUGAGUUAUGUAUUUAAACUUUUUUUUUUAUUAAACCCUAAACCCUUUUAUCCCAUUAAUUGGAUAUCUAAACUAUAAUUCUAUUACCAAUCCAUUAAAAAAAUAUCAUUAUAGCAUUAAAAUUUGUUAAUAUUAAAUAAAAUAAAAAUAUCUCCAUUCCCUCUCUUUCCCCCCUAACCCUCUCGCUCCCUCUCUCCCCAUCUUCUCACUCAUUUCCCUUUCCUCCCUUUUCUCCAACAUUUAUUUAUUUUUUCUUAUCCCAUUAAUUUGAUAGUUUCAAAGCUUAGAGAUCUAGUGAUUGCGAGGAAAAAUGUGAAAGAAAAAAUGAAAAAAUAAUUAAAAAAAUAAAAAUAAAUAGAUAAAUAAAUGAAGGUGUCAAGGGUCACAAUUUGAUUAGCACAUAGCAUUAUGGUAUGGAAUUAUAGUUUAAGUACUCGGUUCGACCAAAAAAUAGUUUAUUACCUAACUCAAACAAGGGAUAUAGUUUAUGGAUCUCUUAUUCAAUUAAACCUAAAAAAAUUAAGGGUAAACUAUAGGUCUGUCUCGAAACACAACACUGAAACUUGAUAAUUGAGUUGGAUUUGAGUCCUAACUUUAAAAUUGACCCCACAAUAACUCGUAACUUAAUGAAUUAGAAACCUAUAUAUAAAUGAAUGUAUGUGUAUGAACAUAAUGGGUGGUUUAAUUGUUAUGCAUGAUAAUUAUGAUCUAAACUUUGUGAAUAUAUGUUAAGUUAGUUUAAGUUGUUUCGAUAACGUAAUGUGACAUCACACAUUCGGAUCUGACUACUAGGUUGGGUGUGAGGUGUUACAAUGUUCAUAUUUUGGUUAACUAGAUUUAAAAAUUUCUUAGCCACUAACAUUAUGAAAUUUAAUAAUUUGGUCACUUUGUUAAAUCACGAGCGGCAACCUUUUUUAUUGACAUAAUAAUAAAUUUAGUCAUCCAAUAUUUACAUAUUAUAUCAAUUUAGUCUUAAUUUUAAAAAUUUUAACAAAUUUAGCCCUCAACUUUACACAUUCUGUCAAUUUAAUUUUUCUUAAUUUCAAAAUUGAAAAUUAAAAAACUUUAAAAAAUAAAAAGUUAUUUAAAAGUUAUUUUCAAUAAAAGUACAUAGAAUUUUAUAAAAAUACAUAUAAAAUUAUAAAUAAAUGAACACUCAACUUUCUCUCAUUUUUUACAUAAAAUCUAUUUAUUAAAAUAAUACUUUUAUAAAUAAAAUAUUUUUUUAAAGACCCAUGAACAAGACUUAAAUCAAAUUCAAAAUUUUCCUUGUUUUUAGUUUAUUUUAUAUAUAAAAAAGUUUAUUAUACGUCUAGCCUUACUCCUCGUCAAAUAUAUCGAGCAUUAGACAUCGCCUUCGCCCACAACCACUGGUACCAACAGCCCUUACUUCGAACUCCUUGAUUUCCACAUCCUCCAUCAUUGUGCCAUCAAACUAGGAUUUGGUUGUGGAGCUAUCAAAAUGGGCUUCUACCUAUUAGGUCUCCAAGACUUCAUCAUCACCUAUAUAUCCUCAAUUAUAUCCGCCCUUAAGCACAACCUCAAAUGCAACAAACUUGUUUUAGGCAAUAGUCUAAAGACAUUGAUUCUUAUCUUUUUUUACUUCAGGCUGUAAUUUUGAUCCAGCCUAAACAUGGUGGUCGUUAAUAAUAUUGAAAAAAAUGAAAUGUUGAAUCUAUGUAAGUCUUCUUCAUGGUUUUUUUUCCAUGAAUUGUUUUAUUGAUAAGAUUAUAAUUUUAUUUAUAAAAUUAUUAUUUUAAUAAAUAAAUUUCAUGAGAAAAUAUAUAAAUUUAGUUAUUAAUAUUUUUAUAAAUUUGAAUGUAUUUUUACCAAAAAAAUGUUUUUUAAAUAUUUUUAUUUUUUAAAUAUUUUUUAACUUUUAACUUUUAAUUUUUAAAAAUCAAGAUUAAAUUGAUAGAAUGUAUAAAGUUAAGGGCUAAAUUUAUUAGAUUUUUUAGAUUUAAGAAACAUUAGAUGGUCAGAUUUAUUAUAAUACCAAUAAAAAACUACCACUAUCGGUGAUUUAACAGAAGAGUAACCAAAAUAUUAAAUUUCGAUAAUGUCACUAACUAAAAUAUAUAUAUUUUUAAUUUACAUGUUAAUAAUUGGAUGAUUAUUUUUAUAGUUUACUAAAAAGUUAAAUGCUGUAAAAUAAUCAUGAAUCACAUGUGGUUGUACGAAAACAUUCAAAUGCACUUGGCUCUUUGUCGAACUGUAUGCCUACCAUAGUCAUUAUCACUCUUUUCCCUUUAUUGCUAGUAUCUUCUCUUUCGUCAGCAUUCUUGCUUGGACUUCUAUGUAUUCUCUCCUUAUCAUGUGAACUAAAAUUUCCAUAUAUAAUUUUUUAGAAUUAAAUUCCAUUACCAACUAUAUAUUUUUGUAACUUUAAUUAUAAACAUCGAAGCAUUCCAUUAACUAUUUAAAAGCAAAGUGAAAAAAAAUAUCAAAUUUCAAAAUCGUUAAUGACUAAAUCAAUUUUGAUGAGCAAAUAAUAAUACCCAACUAUAGGUGACUAUCCAUGUAGGGUUCUUUGGUCAAUAUGGCUAAUUCCAAGACCAAGACAAACCCUUGAUUUAACCGUAGCAACAAGGAAGGAACAUGGAAAAGGGCAGAAACAUGAGACUGAAAUCAUAUUUUGGACAACAACAAAAAAUGGUUAAAAUAUAAACACGGAUGGAGGUGAAUAAAUUGGAAACCGAAUGCCCUUACUUUCUUUUUCCUUCUAUCUUACAUUUCUUGUAACUAAGACCCUUCUAUGUUACAAAUCAAAAUUGCAGUGGAGUUUUCAUUCACCACAGCUUGUCGUCUUCUUCUUACAUUCUCAAUUACAAACUGCCUUCUCAGCCUUUUCAAGCAAUUAUAAUAAGAAUUGCAGAAGCUUUAUACCUCUCUUUCUUGGAAGGCACCAUCUCAGCCGAGACUCCGUUGCCAUCGUGUGUUUCAAAUAAAUAUGUGAUUGUUGACGUGGUGGAUCAGUUGCUUUCGACAAAUUUGGUGGUCAGUCAUGCAAAAUCAUUCACUGUAACACCGGAGUUCAACAACAAAAAGAAUGCUGAAGAGAAAUCAAUCCGCCCAAGGGCCAAAUCCUGCUGUGGUGUAGGAGGGUUAACCAGAAGCCAGUAAUGAAGAAAAAAAUCAGUAUGGAAUAACAUAUGGGAGAGCACAAACAUCGGUGGACUCUAUCUGCAGAGCUUCUGCCCACACCUGUGGUGCCUCAUCAAUCUUGGAAAAACCCACCUUGGGCUUCUUCGAUUGAGAUCCAUUACUGUGGAAUAGCCAUGAUUGGUCAUCAAAAUCAGACCAUUCUUCCAUCUCAGGCACUGAAAGUACCUGGCUCAAAUACUUGGAAUCCGGAUGGGGUGGUUUCUUACACACUUCAUCCAUUUGACUAGCUUGUGCACUUGCUGAUAAAUGCGUUGCCGGGGAAACAGAUAACACCUGAGCUUCACUGGUACCAUUCAACUUGUGUUCUUUAGCAUUCACCUUAAGACCAGUUCCUGCCCCAUGGCUAUUGGAAGCGAGUGGGAUGGGAGCUUGGCAAGAUUCUAACGUUUUUCCAUUGUCCAUCAAUAGAGAGGAAGAAGUUCUUGGCAACUUAUUGGGUUUAAGGUCAUUAACUGCGAGAAAGAAGAAAAUAAAGAAAGCAGAACUUGUUAUCAAGAUGGCUAUAGAGAAACUAUUAAUCCUGCUAAGAAAAACAGAGAAACUAUUGCCGUCAAAGCAAUUACACGAUUUUAUGCACAGGUUUGUAGCAGUUUUCUAACAGAUAAAGGGCAGCAAAAUUUCAAAUGAUCAUUGGCGAUGAUACAUAGAAUCAUGGUAUAAAACUCACCAUGAAGAAAUCCAUUAUUUUCCCAGUCCUUCCGCUUGCGGUGAUUUUCCUCGACAACAGCGCCCUUGUUGCCCUCCUUAGAAGAAUCUGAUGCUUUCGGAUUAAUGGUGCCGACAGGGUCAUCUUUAUUGUUUCUUUUUAAGUUAUCCAGCUCCAAAUUCCUAUGUUCACCUUUCGCCUUUGCCUUCUCUUCCUUCUUCUUCUCCUUCUUCUUCUUCUUCUUCUCUUUGUCCCUAUCCUUAUCUUUCCCAUGACUUUUUUUCUCCCCAUCUUUAGUCUUGUGCUUGUCCCUGAUUUUAUCGUCACUUUUUUUUUCUUUGGUUUUUUCUUUCCCUUCAUCCCGCCUCUCAUUACUACUCCCCACUAGUCUCGGGAUCCCUUCAACUCUAGAAUUAACUGCUCCAACAAUAUUCUGAACCAUAGCAUUUCCACCCGAUCUUGUCUCGUCCCUAAUUCCUUGCACAUUUGACUUACUAUCAUCACUUCUCUUGUUCUUUUCCUUCUCUUCAACCAAUGCAUUGGCAGUCUUAGCCACCAAUCUGACCAUUCCCUCAUCUCUUUUUGGUACGGUACCCAUAUGCUUUUCCUCCAAUUGGUUUCCAGCUCCGGCACCUUCACCUCUGACCCUCCUCCCCAACUCAUGCACAAAUUUAGAAUCCCUGAAAUCUUCAGCCUGAUGACUUUGGCUAAGCUUCUCCCCGUUAUAACCAGAAAAUUGCCCUGCAAAUUUCUUCUCACCUGAGAAACUGCUUCGAUCUUUCUCACUACCCUUCUCUUUUGGGAUAAACUUCUCCCCACUGUGGCCUUCAGAUUUUCCAGGAAGCUGCUUCUCAUCAGUGGUUUUCUCCCCAUUUUGACCCUCGGGACAACCAGGAAAUUUCUUCUCCUCCAAGUUAUUACUUCUAUCUUUUUCUUUAUCUCGAUCUUUUUCCUUCUUUUUGUCUCUGUCUUUGUGUUUUUCCUUUUUGUCUUUCUUAUCCUUGUGCUUUCCAUCACUUUUGUCCUUUUCCUUUUUUUCUUUAUUUUCUCUCCUCUCCUUCUCCUUCUUCUCUUUCUUAUGCUUCUUCUCCUUUUGCUUCUCCUGAAAAUCUAGAAUCAUAUUAGAAAAACAUAGAUUCAUGAAUCAAGCGCAAAAGAUAAUUUUACAUAGCAGGGAAUCAAACAAAUCAUCAGUAACCCUCAAAAGAUGAAAUUUAUACUAAAGGAUCCAUUAUGCACCAAGUUGCAAUUAAUACUGAGAACAACGUUUUUGGAACUGGACCAAUGGUCGAACAAGUCUGACCACCGAUCCAAUAAUAAAAAAUAAAAAAGAAAAAUUCUGAAAAAUAAUUAAAAAUAGGAAAAAGAAUCAGAAUUUUAAAAAAAAAAUUAUAAACACAAAUAAAUAGCAAUAAUGAGAUAAAAAUAAAUUAUACAUUCCAAAUUCAAAUAAAAAUUUAAAACAUUAACAGAGUGGACUACAUUAACCCUAAAACUUGGAACGUUUUAAAACAUUAUCCAAAGUCCAAUAUUCAUCCAACCAAAAUUAAGUAAAACAUUAAAGCAUUCCAAUAUAAAACAUUAAGACAUUUCAAUCCAAAAGUAACCAUAAAACAUCAAAACCUUCCAUUCUAAAGUUAGCUAAUUAAAAACAUAAUGGCACUUAGGUUUUUUUGCUGGUUUUUUCUUCUUUAGAGUUUAGAUUUCAGUUCUUUUAAUUUUGCUGCCCCAAUGUCCCAAUUUAGCCAUUUAGGUUAGUUUUUAUUUUUCUUUCCUCUUUUCUUUUUAAGUACUAGGGAUGAUUUGGGCCGGUUGGUUUAAGCAUUGGGGUUGGGCCAGUUGGGCUUUUUUUCCCAGGUUGGGCCAUUAAUUUGGGCUAAACAUAAACAAACCAGUUCAACCCCGUUUCCAAGCGGUUCGCUCUAAAAUCAGUCUAAACCCUUAUCGGUAUACUGGCUGGUCUGGAUUAAACAACACUGACCGAGAACAAGUGUACUUAUGAGUGAAAAAACUGUCGACGAAUUACACACUACUCACAGCAAGAAAUUUUCCAAAGGAUUACUUAAAAGAUUAUCACAGAAGAUAGUUCUCUGAUAAUUCUUCUUUGCAUUAUGUCCUGAAAAGACAAAGGAAUUAAAAGAAAUCCGAUAGUUAGGGGGGAAAGGAACAACAACACACCAAAAAGACAACAAAAAAAUGAAUGCUUGUAGUAAGUGGCAGACAAACCAUCAUUUAGCAAGAUAUAAUCGGUCAGCAAAGCGAAAGUAUUAGGUUUGAAUAACUAGAAUAGAAUCUUAGUUUUCACACACCUCUACAAUAAAAAGUUUUAUGCUAUAAGACACAUAAAAUACCCAGCUGUAUGUCUAAGAAAGCUUUCUGGGAACAUGCUACACUACGUUACUCUGACACGGGUAUAUUCAAUAUUUUGUAAAUUUUGAAUGUAUUUGGAAAGUCCUUAAAGGGUCAUAUCAUAAACUCAUGCCUACAUAUGCAUAGGACACAAGUACUUCAAGGAAAAUGAAGAGUUGGAACAACAUCAAUGCUACAUACCAAAUUAACGAACAACUUCUACUAGUCAAAAAGUAUAGGAAAUGAUACUCAAAUCCAUGGAGUACUGCAUUUACACCAAAAUGUACUGUAAAUCUGUUCUAUACUUAGGCUGCAUAUGUGAUGAGGCAGGCACUUCUCAACCUUUUAUUAGGUAUAGAAGCUGUAGAACAAAGGCUUGCAAGAAAAUGGAAUGUAGUUAAUACAGCAACCUUUACAGCAGACGACAGAGAGAUUUGCAUUACCAAUCCCCUAACGGUUUCAAGAAAAUGAGAACAAGUAGUGAAGUACUAGAAAACAUCCAUUCACAAGAAAUUCACAGGAUAUAACAUGCCUAGUCACGUACAUUGUCCAGUUAAAUUUAAUAUGCAAGCAUUCAUCAUUAACAAAGCAGUUAUACAUUGCACUUGAAUAAGGAAGCCUUAGAGGAAUAGAAUUUAUAGUUAAAAAGGAGCUGCUAAUGCAUUCAGCAUUUUCCAUAAAAUAAGGAAAUAUAGUCUACCUACUCCUUUCUCUCAAUAACAGAUCGCUAUAACCAAGCUAGAUCAAUAAGAGAAAACAAAAAAUAAAUGGCUCAAAACAAACUUAAUUAACUGUAUUCUAAAACACAAGAAAGAAUAAUGUGAAAGCCAACAUAAACAAACUUCAUUUUCCUUAUUGCAAAUUACUUGGAAUUCUUGAUGCCUUUUAUGGGUGUAUUUAAUGCCAAAGGUGGAACUACACUUUUUCUCCCAAGUAUUAUGCAGUAAAACACAAAUGAGAGUGCAAUAUACCCAUGAACUGCUUAAUACCCCAAUGAACAAGAACUGUUAUAUACCCCAACGAACAUUGCUUAAAAAUAUCGCUUCUCCAAAAAGUCAAAUUCUCAAUGAAGUAAUUUGGGCAUUUUCUGACUUCCUCAUUUACUUUUCUUCGGAGAAAUUGGUACCUUUUGAGGGAGACAGGAGGAAGGGAAUCUUUCAUGUCCUCUAAAAUUACACACUCACUCAGGAAAAACAAAGCAAAACUUUCUAGAACAUGCUUAAAUCAAAUGUUUGUAAAGAUGCAACUGGUAUCAUAUCAAAAGAGCAUCUAUUUCCUACUCUUCCUACUCCUAGACUACUAGAAGCUUUGCAACACAGGUAGAACUAGGGUUGUAACCGAACCAAGCCGAGCCUGAUUAAUGAAGGCUCAAGUUGAUCUAAAUUGAACAAUUCGAUCUUGCUUAAUUAAGCUCAACAGCUCAAACCCGACUCCUAUGUCUCAGCCUCCCUUACUUUAUUGAGUAAAAACCAUAAACAAAUUCAAAUUCAACCUUAAUUUGCAACAAUCAUCUCUCAAGAUCCCACUUCAUGACUAAGAAACAUGUGAUUUUGAAUCUUAAAGUCUUUAUUGAUCAGUUCAGACCAUGAAAUUAAAGUAUUAAUGCAGAAGAAGUUUGUUGCUGAUGCCGCUGCUAUUGUUGAUGCUGAAGGAGUUGCUGAUAUUCCUGUAGCUAAUGUUGUUGGGUAGAAGACAAGAGGGUGGUUCAGGGAAAGGGUGAGGCCCGUUGGUGAGAGUAAGGUUGGUUGCUGGAUGAGAUGAAAAGGAAACAUUCAAACGUUAGGAGAGAGAGGAAGGAGGUCGAAGCUCACGUUAAGUGUGAACAUAAAAUUAGCUAUUUAGGGUGUGUUUAAGUAUUUAUAUAUUUAGGGUAAAUUUGUAAUUCAAUAAUUAAUUAAUGAAAGUAUAUAUUAAAAAUACAGAAACUCAGCUAGGCUCAUGAGGUACUCAGGUCAAGUAUUAGAAUGCGAAGAGACAUAUCCUGGAAAUCGAAUUGGGAUCUACUACAGGGAAUUAAUCAGAAUUAUUCCUUUAUGAUCUAAUAUACCCCUAGUACACUUACUAAAAAUUCAUUCAGAUACAUAUCCUGGAAAUCGAAUUGGGAGAAUACACAAGGGGAGUGGGAAUUUGAAACAAGAACAUAAGAGAAGCCAAUUUGGGUACACCGUAGAAGAGUAGAAGUUCUUUGAAUAUGAGGACAUAUAAAGAAGUUAUAUGUCACUGUUAAUAUCCCACUGGAGAGGAUAUAUUUCUUAUGUAGCAUCAUAGUAAAGCUGAAGAUAUGGAUUAUCAAUAUUUAAAUUACCAAAUGCAAUAAAAAGAGAAGGAAGAAGAAAUAUUUAUUGAAUAUGGAAGAGAGGCAAAAAGAGUCACACGUACACAAAUUAACAUUAAUACUUCAUUAAACAAUCACCUUCAAGCACAGCUAAUUUCAUGCAAACAUGAUCACAACUAGCAUUAGCAAAAUUAAAAAAUAAAUUUAAAAGAAAAAGAAUAACUCGUUCAGUGUGAGUAAAAGAAAGUCAGAGCCCUUGGAUCUACUUGUUCUUAAAUUAAGUCAAAUUAAGCAAAAAUCUGUACCUUUAACUAGCAUUCAACACUCAACCAGAAAGCUCUUGGAUUAAUUAUUAAAACUGCAUAGCCAGUGACUUUUGGACAUCCAAGUGUCUUAGACAGAAGACAUAACCUACCUAAUGAAGUUUCAAACAGAUGGAACUAAAUACUAC
rnacentral:lncRNA from 1 species